rnacentral:rRNA from 1 species
GAUGAACGCUGGCGGCGUGCCUAAUACAUGCAAGUCGAGCGAACAGACGAGGAGCUUGCUCCUCUGACGUUAGCGGCGGACGGGUGAGUAAAACGUGGAUAACCUACCUAUAAGACUGGGAUAACUUCGGGAAACCGGAGCUAAUACCGGAUAAUAUAUUGAACCGCAUGGUUCAAUAGUGAAAGACGGUUUUGCUGUCACUUAUAGAUGGAUCCGCGCCGCAUUAGCUAGUUGGUAAGGUAACGGCUUACCAAGGCAACGAUGCGUAGCCGACCUGAGAGGGUGAUCGGCCACACUGGAACUGAGGCACGGUCCAGACUCCUACGGGAGGCAGCAGUAGGGAAUCUUCCGCAAUGGGCGAAAGCCUGACGGAGCAACGCCGCGUGAGUGAUGAAGGUCUUCGGAUCGUAAAACUCUGUUAUUAGGGAAUAACAAAUGUGUAAGUAACUAUGCACGUCUUGACGGUACCUAAUCAGAAAGCCACGGCUAACUACGUG